AGAGUUUGAUCAUGGCUCAGAGCGAACGCUGGCGGCAGGCCUAACACAUGCAAGUCGAACGGAUCCUUCGGGAUUAGUGGCGGACGGGUGAGUAACACGUGGGAACGUGCCUUUUGGUUCGGAACAACUCAGGGAAACUUGAGCUAAUACCGAAUGUGCCCUUCGGGGGAAAGAUUUAUCGCCAUUAGAGCGGCCCGCGUCUGAUUAGCUUGUUGGUGAGGUAAAGGCUCACCAAGGCUACGAUCAGUAGCUGGUCUGAGAGGAUGAUCAGCCACAUUGGGACUGAGACACGGCCCAAACUCCUACGGGAGGCAGCAGUGGGGAAUCUUGCGCAAUGGGCGAAAGCCUGACGCAGCCAUGCCGCGUGAAUGAUGAAGGUCUUAGGAUUGUAAAAUUCUUUCACCGGGGACGAUAAUGACGGUACCCGGAGAAGAAGCCCCGGCUAACUUCGUG
rnacentral:rRNA from 1 species